UCUCCGUAGGUGAACCUGCGGAGGGAUCAUUAUUGAAUAAACCUGAUGUGGUUGUAGCUGGCCCUUUCGGGAGCAUGUGCACACCCGUCGUCUUUAUCUUUCCACCUGUGCACCUUUUGUAGACCUGGAUGUAACACUUUCCGAGGCAACUCGGUCGGGAGGAAUGCUGUCAGCUUUCCUUGAAUGUCCAGGCCUAUGUUUUCAUAUACCCCAAAGAAUGUAACAGAAUGUAUUAUUGGGCCUUGUGCCUAUAAACUAUAUACAACUUUCAGCAACGGAUCUCUUGGCUCUC
rnacentral:misc_RNA from 1 species